CCGUGAAUUAAUCCUCUAUUCGCCCCUUUACUGUCAGCUGGAAUAUGGAGCCAUCAACGUUGAGCUUUUUCCAACCCUUAUCUGGCGGAGCCCACCCAAUCAUCUUCUCUCUGAUGUGUUUUUAAACUCUUGUUGCUCUAUUAAGUGAUGUUCAAAAUAAAGUGGUAAUUUUCUACUAGAGCCUUAAUCAUAUGUUGAAGACUAUUAUUUUGAUCAUAUUGAUUGUUGAACACAAGCUCAUUGCGGUUCUACCAUGCUAUAUUGCAAGUUAUGAUGAAAAUAAUGGUCCAAAGUGUACCAUUUAGGGAUGGAGUGACUUCCAGAAGGUUAGUUCUUAUCCACUCCUGGUAUGGUUGGGCAAAAAAAAAUCACUAUGUACUGUAGUAUUCUAGACGGUAUGGAUAUAGGGACAAUCAUGUAGUGUAUGGAGUAGAGUCUCGUCUUCUCCUUGGCAUCUAGGAUAGCUUUCAUCUUUGGUAAGCCCUCUUCAACUUCUCUUGUAGUUUGUUAAUAAAGCCUCAUGUGUAAGGAGCCAACUAAAUGACUUUAGUCUCUGUGGUAAUUUAGUCUUCCAAACUAGCUUGAAAAUUCUGUCACCAUUCUCUCCAUCAUUAUAGAAAGUAUCAUAGGCUACUUUUACAGUGAAUAUACCAUUUGAGGAUGGGACCCAUUUUGAUACAAUCAUCCCCUAUAUCAUGAUUAGGUGCUUUGAUAGUGUGCAAUAAAUCUAUAAUUUCUUCUGGAAAAACUUGAUGAAGAGCUUCCCAAUCCCAUUCUCCCUUACCCAUAGCAUAUGAGUCCAUAGUUUCAUUUAAUUUCUCUGUGUCUAGAUUAAUUAGAGCUACCUCUUUAAGCUGCUCAAAUCCCAGGAUCCACUGGUCUGUCCAGAAACAGAUUUUUUUUCUAUCUCCAAAUCUCCAAAUGAGUUUAUUUUAAAUCUUUCCCAUAUCUUGGUAAUCCCAUACCAAGCAUUUGAGUUAAUACAUCUUUGAUAAACUUUAGGAAUAUCAUCUUCUCCACAACUGUAUUUUGCACGCAUAACCUUGACUUACAGAGUAUCCCUCCUAUAUAGAAGACCCCAGGCUAGUUUCAUAAGAAAGAGAGAGUUAGAAUCUUAAGCCUUUCUAAUGCCAAGACCCCCUUUCUCUUUAGGUUUACACACUUUAUCCCACUUGACAAGAUGGAUCUUCCUCUUUUCAUCAUUGCUGUCCCACAAAAAAUCUUUACACACUUUAUCAAUUUUAUUGUACAUUGCUACUGGAAUACGCAUGGUUUGCAUAAAAUAGCUAGGAAUGGUGGAUAGAAUUGACUGGAUGAGAGUACAUUUUUCUGCCAUCGAAAGUGUCUUCUUAUCUCAACUUGAGAAUUUGGUUUUCAUCCUAUCAAUAAUGAACUGGAAAUGGUGAUGGUUACAUCUCUUAUGUAUAAAAAGAACUCUAAGAUAUUUUUCCAAGUUUGUUGUGAGGCUAAUCCCAAGUUCCUAGCUGAGUUGUUAUCGAGUGUUAUGAUUCACAUUACUGAAAAAAAUAUACAUAAGACUUUUCAAAACUCACUCUUUGUCCCAAGUAGUCACAAAAAUGUUGAAGAGCUUCCCUAAUGAUCUAAACUUGCUUCCUGUCCGCCUUGUCAAAAAAAGCAAAUCAUCUGUAAAACAAAGAAGAAAAAAAUCUUAGGGCCUCCUCUAGAUAGAGUAAUAGGUUCCCAUUUUUUAUUUUCUACUAAUUUAUAGAUUAGCUGACACAAUCUUUCAAGACAUACGGCAAAUAAGAGAGGGAAUAGAGGAUCUCCCUGUUUGAUUCCUCUAGUUUGGAGAGAAAGCUUUUGAUGGAUAACCAUUUCAGAGCGAGUUCAUAGUUGUAGUUGAGAUACAGUGAGUAAUAACUUUAACAAUUGGCUCUGGAAUUCCCACAUCCCUGAGAGUAUUAAUCACAAAGUUCCAACUGAGUCAAUCAUAAGCCUUCUCCAAGUCGAUCUUUAUUGCCAUGAGUCCUUUGCCAUGCUUUUUACUCCUCAUUGUGUGCACCACUUUCUGAGCUACUAAUAUGUUGUCUGCACUAACCCUACCUAGAACAAAAUUUGAUUGUGUAUUAGAUAUAAUAAGAGGCAUGUCUUUUUUAAUCUCAAAGCAAUAAUCUUAGUUACAGAUUUAUAACAAAUAUUACAAAGACUUAUCGAUCUAAAGUGCCCAAAAUUUUUCGGGGAGGGAUCUUGGGAAUAAUAGUGAUAAAUGUUUCAUUAACCUUGGCUAUAUUAUGGGGCUCAUAAAAAUCAACUUCACCUAGUCCACUAGAGAUUUUUCUACCACAUUCCAAGCUUGUUGAUAAAAUUUUGCCGGAGUCCAUCACUUCCUAGCACCUUCCAACUGCCCAUGGAAAAAAUAUCUUUAAUUUCUUCCAUGGAUCAUCUCUUUUGAUCUCAAUAUAAUCUUUGUCCUGCAACUUAGGAAAAUGAUUAGUAAUAGAGAAUAUACUAGAAAUCAGAUCCAACAAUAGAGGCAUAAGGUAUCAGGCCCUGAGUGAGAGAAGGAAUGAGAAGAACAGAGAAAGAGAAGAGUAGAGAGAGAAGAGUAGAGAGAGAAGAGCUUGAUUAGCUAUGAUUAUGAUUCAAUAGUUAUAGAGUUGCUAUUACACUUGUAUUUAUACUAGAUGAAUUUUGUAACAGCCUAACAAACUCAAAGUACCUUAUGACACAUUAGCACUACAUACUCUAUCAUCUCCCCACAAACUUAAGACCUGACAGUCAGCAAUCCUGAGUUUGCUUCAAAAACUGGUGAACAAUUUGGAAGACACAGGUUUUGUAAAAAUGUCUACCAUCUGAACACUUUCUGGAACGUGCUUGAUGAUAACACCCCUUUUGGCCACAUGGUCCCAAACAAAACUAAAAUUCGUAGCAAAGUGCUUGAAUUUAGAAUGAAAAAUGGGUUGGCAGUAAGUUAAAUGGCUCCAAGAUUGUGACAAUAGAGAAUAAGAGGACUUUGAAGAGUCCUCGCGCAGCUCAUUCAAGAGAUUUUUAAGCCAAGUUGUUUCAGAAAUUAGUGCAGCAAUCCCCCGAUACUCGACCUCGGUGCUAGAUCGAGAUACAACAUGUUGCUUCCUGGAGGACCACACUACUAAAUUAGCCCCAUAAAACAAAUAGUAGUCAUUUGUGGACUUGCGGUCAUUUGGAUAGCCUUUACACUCAUUCAUCUUGACCUUUUUGAGUACUUCUUAGAUGUAUUUAACUUGAUUGAGCCGAAUUUCACUUAAGCUGUCAGAGGUAACCUGAAUACUAAGGAAGUAGUGAAGGGUUUUCAUGUCUUUAAGAGAAAAUUUUGAGUGAAACUACUUGAUGAAGCCAUCAAUUAGAGUAAAAGAGCUACCAAUCAAGACUAUAUCAUCAACAUAGACAAAAGCAAAUGUGCUAUGACAGCCAUCAAAUCUGGUAAAGAGAGAUACAUCAGAUUUCAUUUCUUGAAAUCUAAUGGAUUGAAAAGUGCAAUCCAACUUAAGAUAUCAAGCUCAUGGUGCUUGCUUGAGCCCAUAGAGCGAUUUGUUGAGUUUGCAACCAAUGGAACUGUCCCCCGCUUCAUACUCUGUUUGCUGAACCAUGUAGACCUCUUCAUCGAGAUGCCAUUGAGAAAGGUAUUAUUUACAUCCAAUUGACAAAUUUUUCAACCAUUCAAGGCAGCAGUAGAGAGAACCAUUUUGAUUGAUGUUAGUUUAAUAAUGUGACUGAACGUUUCUUUCAAGUCAUAGCCAGGUUUCUGGUGAAAACCUUGAGCAACAAGGUGGGCCUUAUACUUUUGAAGUGAACCAUCUACAUUGUACUUCGCCUGAAAGACCCACUUGCUUCCAAUUACAUGCUUAGUGAGUGGCAGCUUUACCAAACUCCAGUUUUCAGUUCAAGGGAGGCAUUGAACAGCUUGGAUUUGAAAACUCCUGCCUUGGACCGUGUGGUCAUGUUAUGAGUGUUACGAGACAGAGGAGGAGGUGAUGGAUCGGGUGUUGGGAGUGGCUGGGAAGAGGAUCGAUGUAGUGGGGUAGGAGCAGGAGCUAGAGAGGAGGGGAGAUCUGGGUUUGUAGCAGGCUGUAAGAUAUGUGUAGGGCAUGGUGGAGAAUGAUGAGGGUGAUGUUGAAUGUGUAAAGGAGGAAUUGGUGAGGGAUCAACAUUGUGAGAGAUAUGAAUGGUGGAAGGGGCAGUUUGGAAAGAAAAAAUUUCUUUAUAAAAGACACAAUGGUGUGUUAUAAUAACCAUACUAGAGGGUAGCAAACAUUAAAAUCCUUUAUUCUGUGUACCGCAGCCAAGAAAGACUGAUGGUUCAGACCAAAAAUCCAAUUUACGUUGAUUAUAGGCCCUCAAGUGUGGAAAACACAGGCAGUCGAAUACUUUAAAAUUCAACUAAUCUAGUUUCUUGUUCAACAAUUUCUCCAUCGAGGACAUGUUUAGAACUGGAGUAGGUAAAAUCUUGAUCGACUAAGCCGCUGUGAGAAAAGCCUCUCCCCAAUAUUUUAGAGACACACUAGCAUUCGCCAUUAGGGUCAGUCCCAUCUCUAAGAUAUGGCGGUGCUUUCUUUUCGAAGCACCAUUUUGUUGGUAGACAUGAGGACACGCAAAGCAAUGCACAAUGCCUUAUUCUUGCAGGCUU